GAUGAACGCUGGCGGCGUGCCUAAUACAUGCAAGUCGAACGAAACUUCUUUAUCACCGAGUGCUUGCACUCACCGAUAAAGAGUUGAGUGGCGAACGGGUGAGUAACACGUGGGCAACCUGCCCAAAAGAGGGGGAUAACACUUGGAAACAGGUGCUAAUACCGCAUAACCAUAGUUACCGCAUGGUAACUAUGUAAAAGGUGGCUAUACUACCGCUUUUGGAUGGGCCCGCGGCGCAUUAGCUAGUUGGUAGGGUAAAGGCUUACCAAGGCAAUGAUGCGUAGCCGAAUUGAGAGGUUGAUCGGCCACAGUGGGACUGAGACACGGCCCAAACUCCUACGGGAGGCAGCAGUAGGGAAUCUUCCACAAAGGGCGAAAGCCUGAUGGAGCAACGCCGCGUGGGUGAAGAAGGUCUUCGGAUCGUAAAACCCUGUUGUUAGAGAAGAAAGUGCGUGAGAGUAACUGUUCACGUUUCGACGGUAUCUAACCAGAAAGCCACGGCUAACUACGUG
rnacentral:rRNA from 1 species